rnacentral:rRNA from 1 species
CGCUAUCACUCCUACGGGAGGCAGCAGUGGGGAAUAUUGCACAAUGGGCGCAAGCCUGAUGCAGCCAUGCCGCGUGUAUGAAGAAGGCCUUCGGGUUGUAAAGUACUUUCAGCAGUGAGGAAGGCGGAGUCGUUAAUAGCGGCCUCGUUUGACGUUAGCUGCAGAAGAAGCACCGGCUAACUCCGUGCCAGCAGCCGCGGUAAUACGGAGGGUGCGAGCGUUAAUCGGAAUUACUGGGCGUAAAGCGCAUGCAGGUGGUUUGUUAAGUCAGAUGUGAAAGCCCGGGGCUUAACCUCGGAAUUGCAUUUGAAACUGGCAGGCUAGAGUCUUGUAGAGGGGGUAGAAUUUCAGGUGUAGCGGUGAAAUGCGUAGAGAUCUGAAGGAAUACCAGUGGCGAAGGCGGCCCCCUGGACAAAGACUGACGCUCAGAUGCGAAAGCGUGGGGAGCAAACAGGAUUAGAUACCCUGGUAG